UACGUAGGGUGCAAGCGUUGUCCGGAAUUAUUGGGCGUAAAGAGCUCGUAGGCGGUCUGUCGCGUCGGAUGUGAAAAUCCAGGGCUCAACCCUGGACCUGCAUUCGAUACGGGCAGACUAGAGUUCGGUAGGGGAGACUGGAAUUCCUGGUGUAGCGGUGAAAUGCGCAGAUAUCAGGAGGAACACCGGUGGCGAAGGCGGGUCUCUGGGCCGAAACUGACGCUGAGGAGCGAAAGCCAGGGGAGCAAACGGG
rnacentral:rRNA from 1 species